GAUGAAGAACGCAGCGAAAUGCGAUAAGUAGUGUGAAUUGCAGAAUUCAGUGAAUCAUCGAAUCUUUGAACGCACAUUGCGCCCCUUGGUAUUCCAUGGGGCAUGCCUGUUCGAGCGUCAUUUGUACCCUCAAGCUUUGCUUGGUGUUGGGUGUUUGUCCCGCGUUGCGCGUGGACUCGCCUUAAAGCGAUUGGCAGCCGGCAUAUUGGCCUUGGAGCGCAGCACAUUUUGCGCUUCUAGUCAUGAAUGUUGGCGUCCAUUAAGCCUAUACAUUUGCUCUUGACCUCGGAUCAGGUAGGGAUACCCGCUGAACUUAAGCAUAUAAAUAAGCGGAGGA
rnacentral:misc_RNA from 1 species